rnacentral:rRNA from 1 species
UUACGGCCAUAUCACGUUGAAAAACCGGUUCUCGUACGAUCACCAAUGUUUAGCCACGUCGAGCCUGGUCAGUACCUAGAUAGAUGACAGCUUGGGAAUAUCAAAUGAUGUAA